rnacentral:rRNA from 1 species
GCACAAGCGGUGGAUGAUGUGGAUUAAUUCGAUGCAACGCGAAAAACCUUACCUACCCUUGACAUGUCCGGAAUCCCGAAGAGAUUGGGAGUGCUCGAAAGAGAACCUGCACACAGGUGCUGCAUGGCUGUCGUCAGCUCGUGUCGUGAGAUGUUGGGUUAAGUCCCGCAACGAGCGCAACCCUUGCCAUUAGUUGCUACGAAAGGGCACUCUAAUGGGACUGCCGGUGACAAGCCGGAGGAAGGUGGGGAUGACGUCAAGUCCUCAUGGCCCUUAUAGGUGGGGCUACACACGUCAUACAAUGGCCGGUACAGAGGGUAGCCAACCCGCGAGGGGGAGCCAAUCCCACAAAGCCGGUCGUAGUCCGGAUCGCAGUCUGCAACUCGACUGCGUGAAGUCGGAAUCGCUAGUAAUCGCGGAUCAGCAUGUCGCGGUGAAUACGUUCCCGGGUCUU